rnacentral:rRNA from 1 species
UCCCAAAAUCAANGNNGGAAAUUCACUGGCACUCGGCGUAGUAUUAUUAUUCGCCGAUUAUCCAGUGUCGUUCCUGCCACCAAACCCCCAAAAUUCUCUUGAUUGACCUCGGAUCAGGUAGGGAUACCCGCUGAACUUAAGCAUAUCAAUAAGCGGAGGAAAAGAAACCAACAGGGAUUGCCUUAGUAACUGCGAGUGAAGCGGCAAAAGCUCAAAUUUGAAAUCGGUGUCUACCUAAGGCGUCGAGUUGUAAUUUGGAGGGACAACUUCGGACUGAACCACAUCGUAAGUUCCUUGGAACAGGACGUCAUAGAGGGUGAGAAUCCCGUGUCUCGAUGUCGGGUCAAACCAUGUGAAGUGUCUCCGACGAGUCGAGUUGUUUGGGAAUGCAGCUCAAAAUGGGUGGUAAAUUUCAUCUAAAGCUAAAUAUUGGCGAGAGACCGAUAGCGCACAAGUAGAGUGAUCGAAAGAUGAAAAGCACUUUGAAAAGAGAGUCAAAAAGUACGUGAAAUUGUUGAAAGGGAAGCGCUUGCGACCAGACUCGAUCUUUGGCGAUCGGCCGGGCUCCGGUCCGGUCCCCUCGCCAUUGAUUGGGCCAGCAUCGGUUCCGACGGUGGGAUAAAAGGAGGAGGAAUGUGGCUCCCUUUGGGGAGUGUUAUAGCCACCUUCACAAUGCCGCCAGUUGGGACCGAGGACCGCGCUUCGGCUAGGAUGCUGGUGUAAUGGUCUUAAGCGACC